CUGUAUUUAUUUUCCUUUAGGAGAAAACAAAAACAGAAAGAGAAAUAGAUACGUUCUAAUUAACAACGAAAUUCUUUUAAGGUAUUAAAGAAAACGGUUCGCCAUUGAUAUGUAUCCUCACGUGGCUGUACUAAUUUGUAUAAAAAAAAAAAGACUAGUGAGAUUUUUUUGAACUAUCAGGGUUUGUAGACUCUGAAUACGUCGGAUGGACCCAGCUAACUUCUCUCUCUCUCUCUCUCUCUCUCUCUCUUUUUUCACUCGAGGUCACGUUUCGUUGCCAAGUCAAGAAGAUCAUUCAUCAGCUGCUCAACUGGGCUUAAUCUUACAUAAAAGUAGAGAGGAUAAGAAGAAAAAAAGAGAGUGGGAGGCAGAGAUGAAGUCCAACAUCGCCAUCGGCUCUCUUCCUCCUCUGCAAGUCCAUCUCUCCAUUGCAAGGAAGGGUGGGAGUGCACCGAGGCCAGCCAGGGUGAGGCGUCAUGGGCUUGAGAAGCAUCCUGAACCCCGCUCGGUCAACAGCACCUCUGGAGCUUAGAGCUCAGAGCUCAGAGAGAAAUCAAUAUAGGGAAAGAGAGACUGAUGUUGGAUCACCCAACCUAGCCCUGAGCCUGCAGGCCAGAUGACCUCCCCCACACACACGGUCAUACGCGCUGACACACAUACAAAUACAUACUGACAUACAGCUAUGCUACUGUAUCUUCCGCACACUCAUGACUAGCAUACACCUACACACGCAUGUGUUUGUGUGUCUGGUUUUCCUUAAGGCCAUGUUAUUUUGGAGCAACUUCUACAAUCCAAACCGGCCUCAAUUAUUUUUUACUGAAGAUGGCAAAGGUCCUCGCUUUGUGUUUCCCCCACUUUACUUGUGUCCGUCUAUGUCACCUUCCACCUCUGUGUGGCAAGACAAAAAAACAUUCAAGCAUAUCAAACAUCUACAAGGAUGGACUUCCUCCCCCGAGCAAGUCAUUGUCUAUUCAGGGGCAAGACUUGACAGAGGAAAGCAGCUAGAUCACUUCCUGCUGUGCUCAACAACUCUGCACCAGAAAGUCACUCUGCCUCUGCUGUAAUAGCCACUGCAUUCACAAACAACCAGCUCACAAGAUAGUCAGCAAAACGAAGACAUUCUGUGUCCCGAACAUGGCAUGGACUUUAAAGUAAGAGACUGAGGAGCGUCUAGAUGAACAGUGCUGACUGCUCAAAAAGUGAAGUCAUACUUCAGCCAAGAUGGUUUACCCAGAGAUAGAGACAAGGACCGGAGAAGACUGUCCCAACAGGCAGCUCUGAUCUUCUGCUCUCAUUCUGCUCGAACACAGUGAGAGAAAAACACAGAUCUGAAAAUCACCGUAGGACUCAAGAGAUUUUUUUUUGUGAAGUACAAAAUGAGUUUCUGCUGAUUUUACCCUCGCUCUCGGGCUGCUUUUGAUUAAUAACAUGGACAUUUCAUCAUUGCGUUUUUUGUUCUGCGGGUUAUUUCAGAAGACUUUGCUGGCUACAAGAGGUAAGUGGAUUAAAAGUGGUAAGUGAUAUGCAUCAUUAUAUUAUUAUAUAUAAAAUGUGUGUGCAUAGUCAAAAUUAAAGAUUAUACAUGUACAACAUCUCCACUUGGAUUAAGAGUACACUGAAUGAAUAAAUGAUGAUGUGUGUACUUCUAUACACUAUCUAUACACUUCUAUGUUUUUGUUUUUUGCAUGCCAAAAUGAACAAAGAUUUUUUUCUAUCAUGAUGCUAAU